GCCCCGCUCAGCUGCUGUCACCACUUGUCAGACUUGGAGUCAUUUUUCAGGGUAGGUAUCAACUGUAAUUCUGAGGGCUGCUUUGGGAUCAUCUUAAGACCUUGGCCCAUUGGCACAGAUUUUGGUGCUGAUCUGAAGCCACUGAGGAUUUGAGUCUUCUUUCCAAACUAGUUAAGGAAGGAUUCCCACUCAAAUUAACAGCAUUUGAAUAACAGAUAGCGAGCACUGCUUGAAGAAUACAGCAGUUAUUGUCAUUUCAGAACCACAAGAAAAUAAAGUUCAAAAUAAAUACUAAGACUGUUCAUGCUAGAGAAGGCAGUAUUAGCCUAGUCCCAGAGGAAUGCCCCUCCUUCAAGCUUCACAGAUCUAGGUCCAAAACUGGAAAUCACACCAGCUGAAUUUGUGAGGCAAGAAGAGCAUAGAGGUAAUGAGAGUCACCACAUGACAGAAGAGAAACAGCUUAGAAAACUUCAGCACUGGGGCAUUAACAUGAUUCUCAGCUGUACAGCCAGACUUUCAUUUGAUGUCUACUGGAAAGGUUGCAUCACAGCUAAGCUGACUUAUCCUCGCUGAAGAUCUCUUGCUUUAGAGCUUUGGGCUACCCUGGUGACUUACAUUCUUAUACAUGUAAGAGGAUUUGUUCUACAUAAGUUAUUGACUGAUAUUUUAUUAACAUAAGAAAGAAAGGUAUGUUGAUGUAUUGGAUGUAACCGCUAAAAUCUGGCUCAGAGUGGUUACUGGAAUUCCUGGGGGUUUUUUGUGAUUCAUGUUUGUUCUACUUAAGAGUUGCUAUUCUUGCAGGGAUAAGAGAACAGUCUUGCCUUCCUUAGCACAGAAGUCAGGAUGGAGAGUUUGGACUCCUACAGAACCUCUUACAAGAGCUGCUGUGUACAGCAACUCUUUUCAAGAGCUGUUUCCUUACAUCUGAAAGUGAAUCACGCUGCUCAUGUCCUGUCUGUUUGGACUAGCUUGACACACAAAUAUUUGAGUGGGAGUCUCGUGCAUGAGGAAAAGAAAUGCUCAGGAAAAUUCACUUGAGUAACUGGUGGACGAGUUGUGCUACAGAGAUAUACAGAUGCAUGUUGGGCUUCUAAACCUGUGAAAUGUGAACAAUUCAUGUCCUAAAUGUUACUUCCAAAAAGGAAGCCAAGUUUUUUCAGGUUGUCUUUUCACUUUCUGUCAAAAGAAAAAGACUCUUCUUAGCAGCUGCAUCCCUGACCAAGGACCUGGAAAACCUCAAGGAAGAUCUCUGCCUGCAUGAGCAGAAAUGUUCUCUGCCUACAGAAAGCUAGAAGAUCCUGCUGCCACCACUGGGACAGCAUGCUUCCCUCUUCACACUGAUGGUGUCCAAAUCAAUUUGAGGCAUUGGUGGUCUGGAUAUGGUACAUGUGAGGAGGAUCCUCUCUGCUUUUCAGACACAUCUAUGAAUCUAAGAGGGAACUUCUGAGGUAAAACAUCAAUGACCAAAACAACGGAGAUUUUUUUUAUUCACUAUAAAGUGUUUUCUGUCCCUCCAAAUCAAGUACGUGUCAGAUCAUUCAGAUAUUCUCACUGUCUGUCCCCUCCAAAGCUAUUCAGCCACACUGAUCACUGCAGCUGAUCAUCAGGUGGUGUAUUACAGCUAUUACCUAUUACUCCCUGGAGCCCUUCUGUCAUUUGUGCUCUCCCAGCAUGGUCCCCCAGCCUUUCCUUUAGGGAACAUGGCUAGAGCCUCUCUGGCUCUGGGAGGUCCUGUGACAUUCUGGACACAGUCCAAAUAGAGACUACCUUAGCAACUAGAAGGAGGAACAGAAGAAUACUCUCUAAGUCUUUAUUGAUAACAAUAUCAUGAAUGUCUAUUAAUAUAGUUCCAAGUGCUCAAAAAGUGCUAAAAUAAUAAUAUUCAUUCCUGGAGAGAGAGCAACAACCCCUUCUUCCUGAAAGUCCCUCCCUGGAGCAGUUAUUCCAGUCAAUCAUAUACCUUGAUUUUAUAUCUUUCAAUUAUUUACAUUAUUUGCUAUAGAGUUCUCUGAUAUGACUUGGUAUUUGCAGGCUGAAUUUCUGAAAAGAAUGUUUUAAUCAAGGAAACAUGCAGGACAUCUUCACUGUAGUUCAACCCUUUGUCAAGGAACAGAGUUCUAGACCAUGUGUUUCAAAUAUUUGAUGAGGCAGCAUAACACACUCCAAAGUAGUACAUCAGUAGGUCUCAAAACUUGUCUUUUUAGGCAGAGUUUACCCCAGUGGGCUGCCCAAGGAUAUAAAAUAAUGAUCUUGCACUCACCCACUGAGCCAGGAUGCCCAGCUGGGACAGCCCACUAGUCCUGAAUAUCACCCCACUUCUCCAAGGCUUGACUGGUUGUUUAUGUUGGAGGGGAAUUGCAAGCUGGAUUGUGUAAGGCAUUGUAAAAGCUCUACCAGAUAGCUUUUUUUUUAGUUUCAUUUUCUGAUAAAAAUUAUGUUUUGGGCUGGAAACUCCCACAAGCCAGAGCCAAGAGGAGCACAUUUUCCCUCUGUCUCUGCCCAACCUGCCAUGGGUCCCACUACACUGCCUGGGUGACACCACCCAUCUGAUAUGUCUGUCUGCUAAAUGUGUGAAACAAGGUUAUUUCAUGUAUCUUAAUAAUAAAUUCAAGUGGGUGAUGGGGCGGGGGAAGCUCUUUAAAGUUUGUGGCUGUUAAGAAGUGGUUUUGUGCUAAUUCAUCCAGGCUGGGAUCUUCCUCUCAGUCCAGCUGGUGGUACACUCAGGUGCAAGAGGAGCCUGUAGCCCUGUGCCUGGGGGUGGGUCCUGAAACUCCCCAAGUGCAUCACAGCGUUGUGAAAUCUGGGGCCAAGCAAAGUGACUCCCUCAUUUUUCUGAGAUUAGUAGAUCUCUUGGGAAUGAAGGGAAUCUGGAAUAUCCCAGUAGCACCUUCUAUGGUAUAAAUGUGAGAAUGCCUUCUUGCAUUUGAAGGCUGAGGUAUUUGUGAGGAUACAUUUUUAUGCCUUGCUGUGUCAGAGAAAAAUGCUUUGAUCAAAACAGUUCUUUCUCUAUUUUUCCCCCAUUUAAAAUAGCACAGUGUAUAAAAAAGACAGAAAUAUCUACUGGAUCUGGUCUUUGUGUUGAACUUUAGAUUUAGAAACUAAUGUGUGUUAGGGAAAAGUAUAUAAGUAGAGAUGGCUCACUGGGGUACUAACAGUGUAAAAGGCAGAUAAAAAAUGCAGAGAUAAUUGCUUUCAGCCUCCUUUUCUGGAACUACUCAUCCUUCCCAGGGCUGCACAGAAUGCAGCUGCACAGCACUGAGGAUUUUAGCUGCAAUUUUUUUUUGGUCUUUGAAGACAUCAGUGACACAUGAGGACUGCCCAUACAUGUAAUUUCAAAAAACACACACAUUCUCUGCUUCCUGGAAAAAGGUGUAAAGAAGAAGGUGUCCUUAGCUGGGACUCAGCAGAGGGACCAGUUUCCAGCAGUCAGAGACAUUUUGCUUGGUUUGAGUCUAAAUGCUUCAUAACAGUCAUCUCUAAUUUACCCUAUAAUUAAUGGUGGACAGCAAAUGCUUCCCCCAACCAUGGGUGCUGCAAGAGUAAUUUUGUUUUUACUUUUUAUCCACUCAGAGAUUUAUAGUGAUGGGACCAUAUAAAUACAGAGGGAACAGCUGGGCUAG